AUGCGUCUUCAUCGCUGCUCGCCAUCGCCGGCCACCGGGGUUGCCGCUGAUGCGAUUCGAUCCAGUGGGAACUUUUGUCACCUUGCCUCUUCUCUCUUUCCUAACACUCAAAUCUCUCCUCAGCCUUCAGAUAGAUAGUCUUUGAAGCAAACCAAAGGUGAAAACUGUUCUGCAGUUGGUGAUGACAAGAAGAAUCACAAGCUUUUGACUUAUGUUUGAGAAUCAUCAUGGGACAAGGCUUCCGCAAUCGAAAUGGGACUUUUUCAGCAGCAUCCUAGAAAGACUCUUUGCCUUUAUCGCUUCACCUAGACAACGAGCAAGGAUAACUCCAUCCUCCAUGGCUGAGCAACCUCCUUGUCCGAUAUCAGGAGUCAUUGGGUGAAGUGCAUCUCCUGCAACGCACACGUUGUCUUUUGUGAUGUUUGACCAUAGCAGUUCCCAUGGAGGUCGGUACUUCAGUUGAGACAUCACCAUGCUAUCAAGAUCAGUGGUCUCCACCACAUUCUUAAUGUUUUCAGGCAAGAAGAAGAAACAUACUCGGAUUCUGGAAACAGCAUCUCUGUGGGAGGAGUUCCUGCAGAAAUUGUUCCAACCACCCAUCUGCAGCAAAAUCAAAGAUGAGUCCCCUUUUUUACUGAGCUGAUUAUAUAUGAAUAGUAAUAAUAGUGUUAGUUUGAUACCCUUCAAGGCGAUCAUGGAGACUGCGAAUAUGCUGAGAAACGCCGAGAGCUUCCAUGGCCUUCCAAGCAUUGAACCAAGUGGUAAAUGCAAAUCCUGUCGCUCUCAGUGUCUCCGAAGAUUCCAGCACCAUGCUUCUGAUCCCAAGCCUGUGACACACACCACUUUAGUUAACUUACUCUGCUUAAUAACAACUCAAAAGGCACGCCACACACACCUGUGUAGUCCAACAGCGGUGGAAAGGCCGGAGAUACCGGCGCCAACGAUGAUGAUAUCUGGGCUGCCUUCUUCUUCCAUGGUGCGUUGAUGAUCUUAGAAAGAAAGCUCUGUUUUUCUUCCUCUCUAGUAUUUAUUUUUAACUUUCAAGUAAACAAAAAGAAAUGUGGUUGAAGUUGGCAAGUCAAACAAGGCACCCCGUUCUAGGCAGGCGGCUACAGUCAUCAAAUAUCGAAUCUUUAAUAG
rnacentral:lncRNA from 1 species